rnacentral:rRNA from 1 species
UACGUAGGGCGCAAGCGUUGUCCGGAAUUAUUGGGCGUAAAGAGCUCGUAGGUGGUUUGUUACGUCUGCUGUGAAAACCUAGGGCUUAACCCUGGGCUUGCAGUGGAUACGGGCAGACUAGAGGUAGGUAGGGGAGAAUGGAAUUCCUGGUGUAGCGGUGAAAUGCGCAGAUAUCAGGAGGAACACCGGUGGCGAAGGCGGUUCUCUGGGCCUGUACUGACGCUGAGGAGCGAAAGCGUGGGGAGCAAACAGG